GUUUGAUUCUGGCUCAGAGUGAACGCUGGCGGCGUGCCUAAUACAUGCAAGUCGAACGAUGAAGCUCUAGCUUGCUAGAGUGGAUUAGUGGCGCACGGGUGAGUAAUGCAUAGAUAACAUGCCCUUUAGUCUAGGAUAGCCAUUGGAAACGAUGAUUAAUACUGGAUACUCCUUACGAGGGAAAGUUUUUCGCUAAAGGAUUGGUCUAUGUCCUAUCAGCUUGUUGGUGAGGUAAUGGCUCACCAAGGCUAUGACGGGUAUCCGGCCUGAGAGGGUGAACGGACACACUGGAACUGAGACACGGUCCAGACUCCUACGGGAGGCAGCAGUAGGGAAUAUUGCUCAAUGGGGGAAACCCUGAAGCAGCAACGCCGCGUGGAGGAUGAAGGUUUUCGGAUUGUAAACUCCUUUUGUUAGAGAAGAUAAUGACGGUAUCUAACGAAUAAGCACCGGCUAACUCCGUGCCAGCAGCCGCGGUAAUACGGAGGGUGCAAGCGUUACUCGGAAUCACUGGGCGUAAAGAGCGCGUAGGCGGGAUAGCAAGUCAGAUGUGAAAUCCUAUGGCUUAACCAUAGAACUGCAUUUGAAACUGUUAUUCUAGAGUAUGGGAGAGGUAGGUGGAAUUCUUGGUGUAGGGGUAAAAUCCGUAGAGAUCAAGAGGAAUACUCAUUGCGAAGGCGACCUGCUAGAACAUAACUGACGCUGAUGCGCGAAAGCGUGGGGAGCAAACAGGAUUAGAUACCCUGGUAGUCCACGCCCUAAACGAUGAAUGCUAGUUGUUGUGGAGCUUGUCUCUGCAGUAAUGCAGCUAACGCAUUAAGCAUUCCGCCUGGGGAGUACGGUCGCAAGAUUAAAACUCAAAGGAAUAGACGGGGACCCGCACAAGCGGUGGAGCAUGUGGUUUAAUUCGAAGAUACACGAAGAACCUUACCUAGGCUUGACAUUGAUAGAAUCCGCUAGAGAUAGUGGAGUGCUAGCUUGCUAGAACUUGAAAACAGGUGCUGCACGGCUGUCGUCAGCUCGUGUCGUGAGAUGUUGGGUUAAGUCCCGCAACGAGCGCAACCCUCGUCCUUAGUUGCUAACUAUUCGGUAGAGCACUCUAAGGAGACUGCCUUCGCAAGGAGGAGGAAGGUGAGGAUGACGUCAAGUCAUCAUGGCCCUUACGCCUAGGGCUACACACGUGCUACAAUGGGAAGCACAAAGAGAUGCAAUAUUGUGAAAUGGAGCAAAUCUAUAAAACUUCUCUCAGUUCGGAUUGUAGUCUGCAACUCGACUACAUGAAGCUGGAAUCGCUAGUAAUCGUAAAUCAGCUAUGUUACGGUGAAUACGUUCCCGGGUCUUGUACUCACCGCCCGUCACACCAUGGGAGUUGUAUUCGCCUUAAGUCGGAAUGCCAAACUGGCUACCGCCCACGGCGGAUGCAGCGACUGGGGUGAAGUCGUAACAAGGUAACC
rnacentral:rRNA from 1 species